AUCUCUUCUCAGCCUUUUGGCUAAGAACAAGUGUAGUAUCAGUUCUUAUCAGUUUAAAAUGCCCAGUUACCUCUGUACAAAUUAAAGUGGCAUUCGGUUCAUGCUGGACCCUCU
rnacentral:snRNA from 1 species